GCCUACGGGACGCAGCAGUCGGGAAUUUUGGGCAAUGGGCGAAAGCCUGACCCAGCAACGCCGCGUGAAGGAUGAAGUAUUUCGGUAUGUAAACUUCGAAAGAAUGGGAAGAAUAAAUGACGGUACCAUUUAUAAGGUCCGGCUAACUACGUGCCAGCAGCCGCGGUAAUACGUAGGGACCAAGCGUUGUUCGGAUUUACUGGGCGUAAAGGGCGCGUAGGCGGCUUGACAAGUCACUUGUGAAAUCUCCGGGCUUAACUCGGAACUGCCAAGUGAAACUGUCAUGCUAGAGUGCAGAAGGGGCAAUCGGAAUUCUUGGUGUAGCGGUGAAAUGCGUAGAUAUCAAGAGGAACACCUGAGGUGAAGACGGGUUGCUGGGCUGACACUGACGCUGAGGCGCGAAAGCCAGGGGAGCAAACGGGAUUAGAUACCCCGGU
rnacentral:rRNA from 1 species